UGCCCCUGUCAUAGGUAGAGUGGCAUCCGGUUGGUGGUGCCUGUCUCCUCUCAGCCAAGGACAAAGCAGCCUCCUGUUUAUCCUAGCUUGGCUUUUGGUCUGUGUCCAUGCCUGGUUCAUGCCUUAGAGACAUGG
ensembl:snoRNA